rnacentral:rRNA from 1 species
UUAGGGGUAUCGCAUGAUGAAUACAUAGUCAUGCGAGGCGAACAGGGUGAACUGAAACAUCUCAGUAGCUCGAGGAAAAGACAUCAACCGAGAUUCCGAAAGUAGUGGCGAGCGAAAUCGGAACAGCCUGUGCUCUUUAGCAUUACUCUUAUCAGAACGGUCUGGAAAGUCCGGCCAUAGCGGGUGAUAGCCCCGUAUGAAAAAUGUUGAUUGUGGAACUAAGCGCAAAUAGAGUAGGGCGGGACACGUGAAAUCCUGUCUGAACAUGGGGAGACCACUCUCCAAGCCUAAAUACUCGUACAUGACCGAUAGCGAACAGAAACCGAUAGUGAACCAGUACCGUGAGGGAAAGGUGAAAAGCACCCCGAUGAGGGGAGUGAAACAGUACCUGAAACCGGAUGCCUACAAGCAGUGGGAGGAUCCUUGAGAUCUGACCGCGUACCUCUUGCAUAAUGGGUCUGUGACUUAGUGUAUCAAAGCGAGCUUAACCGAAUAGGGGAGGCGUGCGAAAGCGAGUCUGAAUAGGGCGACCAUAGUUUGAUGCAUUAGACCCGAAACCCGGCGAUCUAUGCAUGACCAGGUUGAAGGUGCGGUAACACGCACUGGAGGACCGAACCGUUGAAUGUUGAAAAAUUCUCGGAUGAGUUGUGCUUAGGGGUGAAAGGCCAAUCAAGCCGGGAAAUAGCUGGUUCUCCGCGAAAUCUAUUGAGGUAGAGCGUCGAAUAUUUGCCGUUGGGGGUAGAGCACUGGAUGGUUGCGGGGGUCGCGAGAUCUACCAACACUAACCAAACUCCGAAUACCAACGAGACUUGUUCGGCAGACAGACGGCGGGUGCUAAGGUCCGUCGUCAAAAGGGAAACAGCCCUAACCUACAGCUAAGGUCCCCAAGUCAUCACUAAGUGGGAAAGCAUGUGGGAUUUCCAAAACAACCAGGAGGUUGGCUUAGAAGCAGCCAUCCUUUAAAGAAAGCGUAACAGCUCACUGGUCUAAAUAAGAGAUCCUGCGGCGAAGAUGUAACGGGGCUAAAGUGAUGCACCGAAGCUUAGGGUUCAGUCUUUGACUGAGCGGUAGCGGAGCGUUCCGUAGGCCGUUGAAGCGAUCUGGUAAUGGGUCGUGGAGGUAUCGGAAGUGCGAAUGCAGACAUGAGUAGCGAUUAACAGUGUGAGAUGCACUGUCGCCGAAAUUCCAAGGGUUCCUGCUUAAAGCUAAUCUGAGCAGGGUAAGCCGGCCCCUAAGACGAGCCCGAAGGGGGUAGUCGAUGGGAACCACGUUAAUAUUCGUGGGCCUGGUGGUGUGUGACGGAUCUCGUGAGUUGUCAGUCCUUAUUGGAUUGGACUGGCUUCGAAGAGGUUCCAGGAAAUAGCCCCACCGUACAGACCGUACCCGAAACCGACACAGGUGGUCAGGUAGAGUAUACCAAGGCGUUUGAGAGAAGUAUCCUGAAGGAACUCGGCAAAUUGCCUCCGUACCUUCGGAAGAAGGAGGCCCCACAUAAGCGCAAGCUCUUGUGGGGGGCACAGGCCAGGGGGUAGCGACUGUUUAGCAAAAACACAGGGCUCUGCUAAGUCGGCUUCAAGACGACGUAUAGGGCCUGACGCCUGCCCGGUGCCUGAAGGUUAAGAGGAGGUGUGCAAGCACUGAAUUGAAGCCCAGGUAAACGGCGGCCGAUCCAUAUACCGGUCCUAAGGUAGCGAAAUUCCUUGUCGGGUAAGUUCCGACCUGCACGAAUGGUGUAACGAU